UGGACAUUUGUAAGACGAUCAAUUUGAACCAAAUUUGAUCUCAAUCGACCUAUUAUUGCUUGAUUUAUGUCCAAAAAAGUGAUUUUCAAAUAAAGUGACUCCAUUUGGAUGACUUCUGAUACUCAUAGAGAAGUUGAAAUCCAUAGGGUUCUUCCACUAGGGGUCCACUAUGUUGGUUAUCAAGGAGAAGAAAUCCAACCAAAUCUGUCCUAGUUAUCACGUUCACACCAAGGAUAUCCAGCAGCGGAUUCAGUGGUGUUUGGG